AUUGAACGCUGGCGGCAGGCCUAACACAUGCAAGUCGAGCGAGCGGCGGACGGUUGAGUAAUGUCUGGGAAACUGCCUGAUGGAGGGGGAUAACUACUGGAAACGGUAGCUAAUACCGCAUACCAUCAGAUGUGCCCAGAUGGGAGUAUCUAGUAGGUGGGGUAACGUGUCACCUAGGCGACGAUCCCUAGCUGGUCUGAGAGGAUGACCAGCAACACGGGAACUGAGACACGGUGCAGAUUCCUAGGGGAGGCAGCAGUGGGGAAUAUUGGACAAUGUGCGCAAGCCUGAUGCAGCCAUGCCGCGUGUGUGAAGAAGGCCUUCGGGUUGUAAAGCAAUUUCAGCGGGGAGGCGUUACCCGCAGAAGAAGCACCGGCUAACUCCGUGCCAGCAGCCGCGGUAAUUC
rnacentral:rRNA from 1 species